rnacentral:rRNA from 1 species
UGCCAGCCGCCGCGGUAAUACGGAGGGAGCUAGCGUUGUUCGGAAUUACUGGGCGUAAAGAGCGUGUAGGCUGUUAGGUAAGUCAGAGGUGAAAUCCCUAAGCUCAACUUAGGAACUGCCUUUGAUACUAUUUUACUAGAGAUCGAGAGAAGUUGGCGGAAUUCCAAGUGUAGAGGUGAAAUUCGUAGAUAUUUGGAAGAACACCAGUGGCGAAAGCGGCCAACUGGCUCGUUUCUGACGCUGAGACGCGAGAGCGUGGGUAGCAGACAGGAUUAGAUA